UCCCAAAUUUAUCAUAAAAUAUAACUUAUAGUUUAUUCCAAUUAAAUUUGAUUGCAUUUUAACACAGAAUAAAUGUUAUUAAUUUGAUAAAGUGCUGAUAGAUUUAUAUUAUUACAGAGCGUUAAUUUUUCGGAAUUAUAUAAUGGCAUAAUUAUCAUUGAUUUUUGUGUUUAUUAUAUGCUCUUGUAUGAUUAACAAUGCGAAAGAUUCAGGAUACCUUCGGGACCCGUCUUGAAACACGGACCAAGGAGUCUAACAUAUGUGCAAGUUAUUGGGAUGUAAACCUAAUAGCGUAAUUAACUUGACUAAUAAUGGGAUUAGUUUUUUAGCUAUUUAUAGCUAAUUAACACAAUCCCGGGGCGUUCUAUAUAGUUAUGUAUAAUGUAUAUUUAUAUUAUUUAUGCCUCUAACUGGAACGUACCUUGAGCAUAUAUGCUGUGACCCGAAAGAUGGUGAACUAUACUUGAUCAGGUUGAAGUCAGGGGAAACCCUGAUGGAAGACCGAAACAGUUCUGACGUGCAAAUCGAUUGUCAGAAUUGAGUAUAGGGGCGAAAGACCAAUCGAACCAUCUAGUAGCUGGUUCCUUCCGAAGUUUCCCUCAGGAUAGCUGGUGCAUUUUAAUAUUAUAUAAAAUAAUCUUAUCUGGUAAAGCGAAUGAUUAGAGGCCUUAGGGUCGAAACGAUCUUAACCUAUUCUCAAACUUUAAAUGGGUAAGAACCUUAACUUUCUUGAUAUGAAGUUCAAGGUUAUGAUAUAAUGUGCCCAGUGGGCCACUUUUGGUAAGCAGAACUGGCGCUGUGGGAUGAACAAACGUAUGUUACGGUGCCAAAUUAACAACUCAUGCAAAUACAUGAAAGGCGUUGGUGCUUAAACAGCAGGACGGUGAUCAUGGAAUCAAAUCCGCUAGGAGUGUGAACACUCACUGCCAACACUAGCCCUAAAAGGAAGGCCUAUUGCUACUAUAUUACCCCAAGUAAUGAUUUUACUGUGAAAAUUUGACUUAAGAGAGAGGACUGUAGCUAAUGUUGCCAUCUCAUGACUCCUGUAAUCUGUGUAACA
rnacentral:ncRNA from 1 species